rnacentral:rRNA from 1 species
UUCGCAAUGCCCGAAAGGGUGACGAUGCGACGCCGCGUGAGCGAAGAAGGCCCUAGGGUUGUAAAGCUCUGUCGAGGGUUAUGAAAUAUAGAUGGGUUAAUACCCCAUUUAUUUGACAAAAGCCCAAAAGGAAACCACGGCUAACUCUGUGCCAGCAGCCGCGGUAAUACAGAGGUGGCGAGCGUUGUUCGGUAUUAUUGGGCGUAAAGAGCACGUAGGUGGUUUUGUAAGUCAGGUGUGAAAGCCUUCUGUUCAAAGGAAGAACGGCAUCUGAAACUGCAGAUCUUGAGUGUAGGAGGGGAGAGUGGAACUUCUGGUGGAGCGGUGAAAUGCGUAGAUAUCAGAAGGAACGUCGGCGGCGAAAGCGACUCUCUGGCCUAUUACUGACACUGAGGUGCGAAAGUUAGGGGAGCAAACGGGAUUAGAUACCCCGGUAGUCCUAACUGUAAACGAUGGGCACUAAGUAGAGGGGUUUU